UAAACCAGAGCUGUGUUUGAAUUCAAAAGACAAUCAACGUUCUAGAUUUACCCUCAUAUCUACAUAAAUCUCUACCCUUCAUUCUACUAUGGCAUUUUUGUAAAUACUUAAUCCAUCCGAGGGUUAUCAUAAAUGGCAUUUUUGUUUGGCAUUUUUGUAAAUACUUAAUCCAUCUGAGGGUAUCAUAAAUGGCAUUUUUGUAAGAAGCCCUAGCCGCACCAUUAUUCGUUCAUCGUUCCUCACUCACCCUCGGUCUUCUCUCUCUCUCUCUCUCUCUCUCUCUCUCUCUCUCUCUCUCUCCGAUCGACCCACUGCACCAUGGCUCCCUCCCUCCCCUCUCUCUCCCUCCGACCCACCGCACCACCGCAAGUCGUCGGAACUCCUCUCUAUCGAGCCUGAUUGGAUACCACUAGCACCACCGACCGGCGCGACAAGUCACCACUGGAACCAUUACUAGCUACCAUUACCGGAUUGUGAAGAGAGUUGGCUAAAUUUGGGUUCGCCUCUGUAAUAUUAUCGGACAAAAAAAAAGUUCCAUUACCUAAGGUGCUCAGGAUUUUACUGAAGAACAGAACACUCAAGCUGCAAGCAAGGGCUGAUGCCUAUCCUUUUUUGUGCGUCAUGAAUAGAAUAAAUUCAAGUCUAGCUCAAGGCCACCAUACAUUUUUCUCCUAUUCUCCACUACCUAAGGUGAGUCGAUCUACUUAAUUUCGUUGGGUUAGUUUCAUGAGGAAUUGUUUGGAAAAUGGUUCUUCACUCAUGCAUAUUUGUGAAGAGUAUCUCAUCAAUGUCCAUUUCUAAGCCUAUCAAUUCAAAAUUUGAUCGCUGGUAUGUGUUAUUUUAGAAGCAUCCCUCUAUUUUUUAUUCUAUUGAAUUGCAACUAUGUCAUCAGUUUUGGGGUUCUUGCUAUAACCCAAGAGCGAAGGUAUACAUUUUUCCUUUCUUCAUGUACACGAUCGAGCAUGUCUGUUAUGAACGUGUAUAAAUGGGAACAUACGACACAGCUUUUUGCUCUUUGUAUAUAGGUAUAAAUUACCUGAUCACAAUCCUCUCAGCAUCAAAAGUCUCAAUUGUUGCGUUAUUGCUAGGGCUUUCCCAUUCAUUGUGGGAGUUGGACCAUAUUCGUGUAGUCAUAUUCCCUUUGUUCAGGAGAUUAGAUAAAAUCUUUUACUACGGGUUGUUGAUGAAGGGGGAUUGAUGAAGCUGAGGUUUUACUAUGAGAGGAUGGGCGGAGAAGGGAUUUAGAGGUUUGUGACGGGUAGUAAGGAGUUGGAGGGGAUUAGGGCUCAUAUUGAUGAUUGAGUACUCACCACCUGUUCGUAAAAAGGCCACAUUGAGACAAUUGAUGGUAAAAAAAAAAAUGGGAGCAACAAGCUCUGAUCUCAAACUUUUCUCACUUUUUAAGAUGGAACAAAUGUGACUUUGAUUGGUUUGAGGGUCCAUAGUUAGUUGUUCAAGAACUGAUGUAUUGUUUGGAGGUGAAACCAUAUUUGGUAUUUGGUAGUAUAUUCGUUCCUAUGUAUUACACUCUCUUCAUGCCUUUUGCUGUCCCUUUUAGGUAUCAACGUGCUCUUGAACAUAAUGUGUACAUUGGUUGGAAUGGUAAUGAUUCUAAUGAAAAUUACUUCUCAACGGGAUAGAUUUUGGUUGGGGAAAGGAAGAACACUUAGCAAUCUUCAAUUUAAAAUUCCUAUAAGCACGGGGAUUUUGUUGCCUAAAUCCCACCACAAUAUAGUGGAACUAAAAUGUUUACUUGAACUAAACUCAACUUUAUAAAUUGGUCAUUGCACCCUAUUAUUGUUGCAACUUGCAACUUGCAAUUCCUUUUAUUUUCAUACAGUUUAAUGGGUUUCUGUUCAAUUUCUCGGAGCUAAUGUAAUAACAACAAUAGUGGUUGGGAUUUUCAUUAGUUUUUUGUGCGUUCACGUCCAUUUAUUUGCUUAGUGUUUUGCUAGGAUAAAGGGGUGCAAAUGCUUAAAGACUAUAUUUCUAAAUAUUAUGGGAGCUCAUACGUGUUCAUUAUUCCUGCUCCAACAACUAGGAGUCUUGACCAUGGUGCCUCUGUGGUGACUUUCGGUUUAAAAGUUGAUUGGUCAGAAGAGUAUUGACACCUUUCCAAAAGUAAAAAACGAUUACAAAGAUUGUAGGAGUGAUAAGUCGUUCUUUUUCUUCAUUGUCAUUCCUAGAUUGUACAUAAACCAGUCCAUAUUAUGUGAUGAAUUUAAUAAUUCUUAAUCUUAUUUAUGUAGGAAUGUCGAGGACCGGCAAAUGAACAAUGAAGUCGUCAUGAUAAGAGCUUUGUUAAUAGAUUGGGAAUUUCAUAAGGAAUUUUUAUUUGUUAGGUUAAGUUUUACAAAUAUAUAUUCGGUUUUAUUACGUGUGUUGGGUGAUUUAAGGAUUUGGGAAAUUUUUUACCUGCUUGAAUAUUUUUUGCACCUUGAUUUGACCUGCACAUAUAUAUCGUAUUUUAUUUUGUUCCUACCUAUUUUUUUCAACAUGUCCUCCCUUUGCUCAUUGUUCGACCUAUAGCUUUAGUUGUCUUCAAAAUGUGUUGCGUCGUGCCUUCAGGCACGGGCAUUCACUAGUUAUAAAAAAUGACUCGACAGUUACCUUUGCAAUCUAUACUUUUGAUGUACUUGAUAAUCAACUAAGCCUUAUGUUGUAUUCAUUGUUAUAGUAGCCACACGAUUGCAAGACAA